AUGCCAUGAUGAGGGAAUUUUGGCAACAACUCCUUAAACUGCUUCCAUGCCUCAUAUAGAGAUUCCUCAUCAAGUUGCGGAAAUGAAGUAAUCUCAUUGCAUAGCUU